UAAAUUUAACUUCUGUUCCUGGCAUUAAAAAUCUAUUAAUUUUGUGUUGAGUUUGACCUUCAUAAAGUUGUAUAACUUUGUCAUACUUUAAAGUUUCAUAUACCAUUGGAUUCCUUGUUAAAAAGCGCUUCUAUCUAUAUGCUGUAGAGCUGGUAAGCUCCAACCAGUUAAAAGUUAGCAUUUAGGUAUAGUUAUAUCUAUAUUAGAAACAGACAGACAGACAGACAGAAGAGAUUCUGAUGUAUCCUGAAAAGUGAUAUAAUUAUAGGUCUCAGAUCUGUACCGAAACAUGGCCUCUAUAAAGUCAGCUCCUAAAAGCAGCGACUAAUCUGUUGAAUACAAGACGAUGGUCAAAUGUGCAUCCUCAAUUUUAGAUUGUAUUAAAGCGUCGCCGAACAGCAUUGGAACAGCAAUGUUUGCAAAAGGCUACAUCUCCGAGUAUGUUAGAGAUAUUGUUGGUUCUACGAGUGUAUCCGGAGUCGACAAAGCACAACGGCUUUUGAAUACCAUAACUGAUCGUGUAAAAACUGAUCCCCUUGCUUACAAUGGCUUUGUUGAUAUAAUCAAAAAGGAAGGCAUAUGGACAUCUUGUUAUUUAGAUGAGUUUCAGAAAGCCUAUGAGGAGCCUAGCAGUGAAGUACUGUUGGGAAAUUGUUGCUCACAUGCUGUUGUGGCAGAGAAGUUAGAGUUGCCAUCAUCAUACUUUCAGGCAAGUUUCCCAAUAGACGAGCUCCCAGAAACCAAUCAAAUUAUGGAUAUUCAGCAUGACAGUUACCAUGGCGAAAUCUCUGGAAAAGAAGCUGAAUUCAGGCUAAAAGCAUUCAAAACUCGAAGCUAUCUUACAUGCUACAGUGUAAGUCACGAGCAAUAUCUACUGUCCGUAUACCAACCAGUACUAAGAGGGAACGAAAUAAAACAUGAGAUGAGAAACUUUGUGAUAACUUUCAAGCACGAUGACAAGAAAAUCUAUCGGAUAACCGACAGAGAAUUUAACAGCCUCGAAGAAAUGCUUGAAACCUAUGAGAGGGAGAGUCUACACCAUUCUCUCCCAAACAUUGGAAGAAUGGUAUCUGAGGAAGAAUAUCUUCAAUUGAGGCAACAGCAACGGCAAGGCCAUUCUCUCCUAAACAUUGUAUCUGAGGAAGAAUAUCUUCAAUUGAGGCAACAGCAACAGCAACAGCAACAAGAUUGUCCAAAAUGCCUAAUUUUAUGAACUAAAUGACAGAUGCAUGAGCUUGAGUAUUUUUUAUUGACAUGUACGUUUUACUGUGUGUAUUACCGUAUAGCGGG